UACGAAGGGUGCAAGCGUUAUUCGGAUUUAUUGGGCGUAAAGGGUGUGUAGGUGGUAUGUUAAGUCUGUUGUUAAAGACCCUGGCCUAACCGGGGAAGUGCGGCGGAAACUGGCAUGCUAGAGGAUGAGAGAGAGAAGUGGAAUUCUCGGAGUAGCGGUAAAAUGCGUAGAUAUCGAGAGGAACACCGAUGGCGAAGGCAGCUUCUUGGCUCAUUCCUGACACUGAAACACGAAAGCGUGGGGAGCAAACAGG
rnacentral:rRNA from 1 species